rnacentral:rRNA from 1 species
AACGCGAAGAACCUUACCUGGGCUCGAAGCGCAGUGGACCGGGGUAGAAAUAUCCCUUCCCCUUAAAAGGCUGCUGCGGAGGUGCUGCAUGGCUGUCGUCAGCUCGUGUCGUGAGAUGUUGGGUUAAGUCCCGCAACGAGCGCAACCCUCAUCCCUAGUUGCCACCGGGUAAUGCCGAGCACUCUAGUGAAACCGCCCCGGAUAACGGGGAGGAAGGUGGGGAUGACGUCAAGUCCUCAUGGCCUUUAUGUCCAGGGCUACACACGUGCUACAAUGGUCGGUACAAACCGUCGCAAAGCUGCAAAGUGGAGCUAAUCGGAAAAAGCCGGCCUCAGUUCGGAUUGGAGUCUGCAACUCGACUCCAUGAAGCUGGAAUCGCUAGUAAUCGCAGAUCAGAACGCUGCGGUGAAUACGUUCCCGGGCCUUGUACACACCGACAUA